GACGAACGCUGGCGGCGUGCUUAACACAUGCAAGUCGAGCGGUAGGGCCCUUUCGGGGGUACACGAGCGGCGAACGGGUGAGUAACACGUGGGUGACCUGCCCUCAGCUCUGGGAUAAGCCUGGGAAACCGGGUCUAAUACUGGAUAUGACUCCAUGACGCAUGUUGUGGGGUGGAAAGCCUUGUGCGGCUGAGGAUGGGCCCGCGGCCUAUCAGCUUGUUGGUGGGGUGANGGCCUACCAAGGCGACGACGGGUAGCCGGCCUGAGAGGGCGACCGGCCACACUGGGACUGAGACACGGCCCAGACUCCUACGGGAGGCAGCAGUGGGGAAUCUUGCGCAAUGGGCGAAAGCCUGACGCAGCGACGCCGCGUGAGGGAUGACGGCCUC
rnacentral:rRNA from 1 species